CCUACGGGGGGCAGCAGUGAGGAAUAUUGGUCAAUGGACGAGAGUCUGAACCAGCCAAGUAGCGUGAAGGAUGACUGCCCUAUGGGUUGUAAACUUCUUUUAUAAAGGAAUAAAACGAGGCACGUGUGCCUUUUUGCAUGUACUUUAUGAAUAAGGAUCGGCUAACUCCGUGCCAGCAGCCGCGGUAAUACGGAGGAUCCGAGCGUUAUCCGGAUUUAUUGGGUUUAAAGGGAGCGUAGAUGGGUUGUUAAGUCAGUUGUGAAAGUUUGCGGCUCAACCGUAAAAUUGCAAUUGAUACUGGCAGUCGUGAGUACAGUUGAGGUAGGCGGAAUUCGUGGUGUAGCGGUGAAAUGCUUAGAUAUCACGAAGAACCACGAUUGCGAAGGCAGCUUACUAAACUGUGACUGACAUUGAUGCUCGAAAGUGUGGGUAUCAAACAGGAUUAGAUACCCUAGUAGUC
rnacentral:rRNA from 1 species